rnacentral:rRNA from 1 species
CCUACGGGUGGCAGCAGUAGGGAAUAUUGCUCAAUGGGGGAAACCCUGAAGCAGCAACGCCGCGUGGAGGAUGAAGGCUUUCGGAUUGUAAACCACUGUUCUUGGUGAAGAUAAUGACGGUAACCAAGGAGAAAGCUCCGGCUAACUACGUGCCAGCAGCCGCGGUAAUACGUAGGGAGCAAGCGUUGUCCGGAUUUACUGGGUGUAAAGGGUGCGUAGGCGGUCUUGCAAGUCAGACGUGAAAACCACAGGCUCAACCUGUGGACUGCGUUUGGAACUGUGGGGCUUGAGUGAGGUGAAGGUAGGCGGAAUUCGCGGUGUAGCGGUGAAAUGCGUAGAGAUCAGGAAGAACACCGGUGGCGAAGGCAGCCUACUGGACUUUAACUGACGCUGAGGCUCGAAGGCAUGGGUAGCGAACAGGAUUAGAUACCCCUGUAGUC